rnacentral:lncRNA from 1 species
AGAGCUACGGUGACACUUCGCGUGCGGUGUAGGCGCAUCUUCGCUCUGUUGGCCGUGGCUUUAGUAAGCACACACCUGCCUGCUACUCUGGUUAUCGUGGCGACGGCAGGUCUGGAUUGCCAGACAGGUUUUUCUUUUUACCUCGAGGCUUUCUCUGAAGGGAGUCGGAGCAUUUAAAAGGCGGCCUCAAGGUGGAUUGAGUCGGGGGAGGAUUAGCAGUAUUUGCUUAGGUUGUAAAACCGCGACUUUAUCUAAUAAAUCGCCAUUCAAGGUGCAAAUACAAACUUGGAACAGAGAUGUAAAUGAAUUCCUCAAGGUCAGAGACUGUUUUUAUUCAUUUCUACAUCUCCAACACCUGGCAAAGUGCCUCGGCCAUAAAAGAUAAUCUGCCUCUGAAACCUUCCGUGGGCACAGAAAUUUCUGCAAGGAAAGCAUCAGCAACCAGAAUAAUUUGGUGAGGAAGAUUUGGCACAGAAUACCCUGACUGAGGUAUUGCUCCAAAAGGAGCAAUCCUCUGGGGUUAGGAGUCAAUUAUUAGGUGCCUACAAAACACUCUGUUAUUUCGACUAAACAUGCCUUGCUGUCAAGGAGAAGAAAGAACUGUGCACUGAAAACCAGAACAGCCAAAAAAGAAUGUGGCUGUGGUCAUGGGAAAGGUCUUUGAAUAACAGGGAAAAGGAGACAGGGCAGUUGAAGGAAGGAUAAGAAAAGGCUACUUCCUAGCAGGAAUUAAUAAACUAAUGUUUUUAUUAUUUAAUAGAAACCCAUUCCUUUCUUUCAAAUAAGGCAGAGAUAAGUUAGGAUUGGAUGUAGCUAUAUAGAUCCCUAUUUCUGGCACAGGCUGAUAGCAAUAAAGGAAGUCAGAACACAACCCCACUCUCACCCACAUCCCACUUUGCAAAAACCAUGACCCAAAUGCCUCUGUAGAUACUGG